GAGGAUUUAGCUUAAUUAAAGUGAUUGGUUUGCGUUCAGUUGAUGUAAGAUAUAGUCUUGCAAUCCUUA
rnacentral:tRNA from 1 species